rnacentral:rRNA from 1 species
AGUGAACGCUGGCGGUAGGCCUAACACAUGCAAGUCGAACGGCAGCACAGGAGAGCUUGCUCUCUGGGUGGCGAGUGGCGGACGGGUGAGGAAUACAUCGGAAUCUACUCUGUCGUGGGGGAUAACGUAGGGAAACUUACGCUAAUACCGCAUACGACCUACGGGUGGAAGCAGGGGAUCUUCGGACCUUGCGCGAUUGAAUGAGCCGAUGUCGGAUUAGCUAGUUGGCGGGGUAAAGGCCCACCAAGGCGACGAUCCGUAGCUGGUCUGAGAGGAUGAUCAGCCACACUGGAACUGAGACACGGUCCAGACUCCUACGGGAGGCAGCAGUGGGGAAUAUUGGACAAUGGGCGCAAGCCUGAGCCAGCCAUACCGCGUGGGUGAAGAAGGCCUUCGGGUUGUAAAGCCCUUUUGUUGGGAAAGAAAUCCAGCUGGCUAAUACCCGGUUGGGGUGACGGUACCCAAAGAAUAAGCACCGGCUAACUUCGUGCCAGCCGCCGCGGUAA